GACGUACAAAAUGACAAUCAAUUUCGAUGUGUUUGGUACGCUCAUGAAAUACAUCAUUAUGAGAAAUCUGUAUGGCACUUCUAUUAUCGCAAUGAAGCAUUGUGACAAAAGAAUGAGUGACACCCAAAUCAGUUAAUAACCACCGUAACCAAAGUAAUUCAGAUGUAGCAUCAGCAAGAGCACGAUAUUCAGAUUCUGUGCUAGAACGUGCAACAACAGUUUGCUUUUUGCUACGCCAAGAGAUAAGAGAAUUACCCAAGAAGAAACAAUAACCAGUUGUAGAGCGACGAUCUGUCAGAUCACCAGCCCAAUCAGCAUCAGAGUAGCCAGAUAAUACUAGGGAGGAGGUAGCGGAAAAGUGCAAACCAUGAAAAAGAGUGCCUUUGAUAUAACGAAGGAUUCGAAGUACUGCAGAGAAAUGAGUUGAGCGAGGAGCAGACAUAAACUGGCUGACCAGAUGAACAACAUAUGAAAUAUCAGGUCGAGUAACUGUGAGAUAAACAAGACUCCCGACAAGCUGUCGAUAUAAAGUAGGAUCAUCAAGAGGAGUGCCAUCAAGAGGUGUAAGUUUGCAAUUGAGCUCCAAUGGGGUUGAUACUGUUUUGCUAUCAGUGAUGCCUGCUCGAGAAAGUAAGUCGGAUGCAUACUUGGCUUGAGAUAGAUAAUAGCCAUCAGAAUUUUGAGAAACUUCAAGACCCAAAAAAUAGCUGAGAGAACCCAGGUCUUUCAUUUCAAAAUGUUGAUUGAGAUAAUGUUGUAACUCUGAAAUACCAGAUGAAUCAUCUCCUGUUAUUAUCAUAUCAUCAACAUAAAGCAACAGAAGAACAAUACCACUGUCAGUUCGGCAAGUGAAUAAUGCAGAAUCAUGUGGACUAGAGAGAAAACCAAGUUGAGCAAGAGUGGAACUAAAUUUGGCAAACCAGGCCCUGGGAGCUUGUUUUAAUCUAUAUAAGGCUCGCCGAAAUUUGCAAACCUUAUGAGGAGAAUGAUAACCAGGAGGAGGAUGCAUAUAAACCUCUUCUGUUAAAUCACAAUGAAGAAAAGCAUUUUUAACAUUCAUCUGGAAAAGUUUCCAUUUACGAACUGCAACAAUAGCUAAGAGACUGCAAAUAUAUGUUAAUCGGGCCACUGGAGCAAAAGUUUCUUCAUAGUCGAUACCAUACUCUUGAGUGUACCCUUUGGCUACUAAGCGAGCUUUGUAGCGUUCAAUAGUUCCAUCAGAACGGGUCUUGAUUUUGUAAAUCCAUUUGCAACCAAUAGGGGUCUUGUUUGGUGGAAGAUCAACUAAAUCCCAAGUAUGAGUUUUCUCUAAAGCCUGAAGUUCGUCAGUCAUAGCUUGCUGCCAAAGAGGGUCAGUACUUGCCUCACGAUAAGAACGAGGCUCAUGAAGGGUUGCAAUAGUAGAGUAACAGUGAAAAUCAGAAAGAUAAUGAGGAGUUUCUCUUACACGGGUAGAACGACGAAGAGUAGUGCUAGGAGGAGAUGCAGGCGCAGGUACUGUAUCAACAACUGGUGCAGAUUCAA
rnacentral:misc_RNA from 1 species